rnacentral:rRNA from 1 species
CCUACGGGUGGCAGCAGUGAGGAAUAUUGGUCAAUGGACGAGAGUCUGAACCAGCCAAGUCGCGUGAAGGAUGACUGCCCUAUGGGUUGUAAACUUCUUUUAUAUGGGAAUAAAAUGUUCCACGUGUGGGAUUUUGUAUGUACCAUAUGAAUAAGGAUCGGCUAACUACGUGCCAGCAGCCGGGGUAAUACGGAGGAUCCGAGCGUUAUCCGGAUUUUUUGGGUUUAAAGGGAGCGUAGUUGGAUUGUCAAGUCAGUUGUGAAAGUUUGCGGCUUAACCGUAGAAUUGGAGUUGAAACUGUUGAUCGUGAGGACUGGAGAGGCAGACGGAAUGCCUAGGGUAGCGGUGAAAGGCGUAGAGAUUAGGAGGAA